rnacentral:rRNA from 1 species
AGAAUCAACGCUGGCGGCGUGCCUAACACAUGCAAGUCGAACGAGGAAAGGGGUAGCAAGUACCCUGAGUAAAGUGGCGCACGGGUGAGUAACACGUGACUAACCUACCCUGGAGUGGGGGAUAACUGAGGGAAACCUUAGCUAAUACCGCAUAAUACCCACGGGUCAAAGGAGCAAUUCGCUUCAGGAGGGGGUCGCGGCCGAUUAGUUAGUUGGCGGGGUAAUGGCCCACCAAGACGAUGAUCGGUAU